rnacentral:misc_RNA from 1 species
GCGAUAACAUGUCCGAUCAGCCGAAACCGCUCGGCGGCGGCGGAACGCGUUACGCCUGCGGCGUCAUUAAAUAACCCGGAGACAGUGUUCCCUGCGCUGGAGCCUGUUCCAGCUGCGACAGCGAACAGUGUAAACGCCAGAUAAUCGCCGCCAGCUCAUGCGCGGCGGGUUGAUGAUGAUGUGCGAGCGUGUCGCAGAUACGCUGUAGUUCCUGUAGCGUGACGGCAAGCGGGCGUUGCUGCACGCCGCGCUCGCUCAUCACAUCGCGCAGCAGGGAUAUACAAAUAUCCCGCACCCGGGAAAGCGGAUCGGAACGCGACUCCCAGGCGCGCAGCUGCCACACCACAUGCGAGCAGUUCAGCAGUACCACU